UCCCUGGAGGAUUAGUGGUUAGGCCACAGCGCUCUUACUACUGCAGCCUGGGUUCGAUUCCCACCCAGGGAA